ACUGAUGCUUCAUCUCCCCAGUUACCUCCAUGUUCAAUUGCUUAUGGUCUGUCGCAACUUGACAGCACAAUGCCUGUCAUGAAGAGGGAGCUCAGCAAGUAACAACUCCGUCUGGACACCUUUUCCCCCACAGCCGAAGGAAAAGCGAAAUUUGGGAAGCUACAAUCAAGGUCAUUUGGGAAGUAGGACCCAGUGUAUUAGCAUUACCUAUGGGUGUCCACAUAGAGAUUUAUAGACACAGGAAAGGCUAGAUCAUGAGAAUGCCCCGUAAAGAGGCACCACGUUUCACCAGGGAGAAAUGCAUCCAAGUUACCUCACAAAUGUUAAGAAAUAUGCCUAAUUAAUUGUAUGGUGCAUUUUCCAUGGUAUUUGCUUUAUUCAUUUCAUGUGCAUUUUGAUUAAAAAUUUUACAUUUUAUUAUCUCUUAUGUUUUUCAAUAAAUACAAACCAGGACUGAUUUUUUUUCCCUCU
rnacentral:lncRNA from 1 species